UACGGGGGGGAGCAAGCGUUGUUCGGAUUUACUGGGCGUAAAGGGCGCGUAGGCGGCCUGUGCAAGUCAGUUGUGAAAUCUCCGGGCUUAACUCGGAACGGUCAACUGAUACUGCUCGGCUAGAGUGCGGAAGGGGCAACUGGAAUUCUUGGUGUAGCGGUGAAAUGCGUAGAUAUCAAGAGGAACACCUGCGGCGAAGGCGGGUUGCUGGGCCGACACUGACGCUGAAGUGCGAAAGCUAGGGGAGCGAACGGG
rnacentral:rRNA from 1 species